rnacentral:misc_RNA from 1 species
AAGUCGUAACAAGGUUUCCGUAGGUGAACCUGCGGAAGGAUCAUUAACGAAUUUCUCAAGGUUGCUUUUGCGUGGUGCGGUCUUCCGCAUAGCGUUGAAUGUGACUCUUGAGCAUUUCACACAUCCCCUGUGCACCUUAAGAGGGUAACUGUUCUGUCUUGAGCGCUGCAAGGUGCUCGAUAGGAUGUGUUGCCUUCUCUUUCACAAAAUCAAAAGUCUAGAAUGUUUGAUAAUAUUAAAUAAAAUAACUUUCAACAACGGAUCUCUUGGCUCUC